rnacentral:misc_RNA from 1 species
UUUCCGUAGGUGAACCUGCGGAAGGAUCAUUAAUGAGUUGUCAUGGGGGUCGUUACUUGCGGCCAGUUUUUGGAUGCAUGUGCUUGCCCUAACAAUCAUCUUCUUCCAACCACCUUUGCACCUUUUUGUGGGCUUUUUUAGUUGGUUGCCGCUCUUGGCUGAUUUUCUCACAUUCCCUUAAAUCAUAAUACGCUAUUAACAAGGUUGAACGUGCUCUGCUCCGCAAGGCCAUUAAUAUAAUACAACUUUUAACAACGGAUCUCUUGGCUCUC